rnacentral:rRNA from 1 species
CUACGGGGCGCUCCAGUGAGGAAUUUUGCGCAAUGGGGGAAACCCUGACGCAGCAACGCCGCGUGAGCGAAGAAGGCCUUCGGGUCGUAAAGCUCUGUCAAGUGGGAAAAAACGCUUUAGAUUAACAGUCUAAAGAAUUGAUGGUACCACUGGAGGAAGCACCGGCUAACUCCGUGCCAGCAGCCGCGGUAAUACGGAGGGUGCAAGCGUUGUUCGGAAUACUGGGCGUAAAGCGCGUGCAGGCGGUUUGGCAAGUCAGAUGUGAAAGCCCUGGGCUCAACCCGGGAAGUGCAUUUGAAACUGGCGUUCUUGAGUAUGGGAGAGGAGAGUGGAAUUCCCAGUGUAGAGGUGAAAUUCGUAGAUAUUGGGAGGAACACCCGUGGCGAAGGCGACUCUCUGGACCAAUACUGACGCUGAGACGCGAAAGCGUGGGGAGCAAACAGGAUUAGAUACCCGGGUAGUC